rnacentral:lncRNA from 1 species
GUUAUUACAAGAUCAGAGAUUUGAAUCUUCACUUAUGUAUUUCAGAAAAUUAUGGUUAGUUUGGUAUUGAGCCCCAUCUGGCACUAUAAUAAAAUGGAGUUGAAGUAAAAGUAUAUAGAGAUAUGCGUCUGCGUUCUCCGGUAGGAUCACAAAAAAUAUAUCGUAACCGACUCAUCGCAAUAUACAAAACGCAACAUUACAUACGGAAACAAAUAUGAUAUUUUUCCAUCGUACUUUUUCACUACUGCACGUAAAGCAAUCUUUCCACAAUCCCAAACGAAGCAUUAAGGGGCUCGCUUCGCCCGACUUCUCCAAAAGUAUAUACAACUUCACCAAAUAAAUAAAU